rnacentral:rRNA from 1 species
AGGGGGGAUGGCGCAUGCUACACUGCAAGUCUGACGAGCUUACUUUAUUAAGCUUAGUAGCGGACGGGUGAGUAGCGCCCAAUAAAAUACCUUUAGGAGAGGAAUAACUAUUGAAAACGAGACCUUUUACCUCAUACACUGUGCAGUAAAAGGUGAAAGCCGCCUAAUCAUGGGCUUGCGUCUGAUUAGCUUGUUGGAAAUUUAAAAAGUUACCAAGGCAACGAUCAGUACUUGGUCUAAUAGGAUGAUCAACCACACUGGGACUGAAACACGGCCCAUACCUCUACGGAGGGCACCAGAGACGAAUUUUCCGCAAUGGGCGAAAGCCUGACAGAACGAUGCCGCGUGUAAGAUGAACGCUUGUGAGUCGUAAACUCCUUUUCUUAGCUAAGAAACGAUACUGUAACUAACGAAUAAGCCUCGGCUAACUCCGUGCCAUCAUUCUCGGUACUACGGAGGAUGCACGCGUUAUUCGGAAUUAUUGAGCCUCAAGCGUCUGUAGGUUGCUUUUUAAGUCUACUGUUACAUGUUAAGGCUUAACCUUAAGAGAGCGAUAUGAGACUAAAAAGCUUGAGUUUAGUAGAGGUAGAGGGAAUUCUCGGUGUAGCGUCGAAAUGCGUAGAGAUCAAGAAGAACACCUCUUGCGAAAGCGCUCUGCUGCGCUAAUACUGACACUGACAGACGAAAGCUAAGGCAGCAAAUGGGAUUAGAUACCCCACUCAUCCUACCUGCAAGCGAUGGAUACUAAGUGUUGUACUUGGAAAUACUUCACCGCUGUAGCUAACGCGUUAUUUUUCCCGCUUGGAAAUUUGCUCCCAAGAGUGAAACUCCAAUGAAUUUACC